rnacentral:rRNA from 1 species
AUUGAACGCUGGCGGCAUGCUUUACACAUGCAAGUCGAACGGCAGCACGGGAGCUUGCUCCUGGUGGCGAGUGGCGAACGGGUGAGUAAUGCAUCGGAACGUACCCAGUAGUGGGGGAUAGCCCGGCGAAAGCCGGAUUAAUACCGCAUAUUUCCUGAGGGAGAAAGCGGGGGGACCUUCGGGCCUCGCGCUACUGGAGCGGCUGAUGUCGGAUUAGCUAGUUGGUGAGGUAAAGGCUCACCAAGGCGACGAUCCGUAGCUGGUCUGAGAGGAUGAUCAGCCACACUGGGACUGAGACACGGCCCAGACUCCUACGGGAGGCAGCAGUGGGGAAUUUUGGACAAUGGGGGCAACCCUGAUCCAGCCAUGCCGCGUGAGUGAAGAAGGCCUCGGUUGUAAGACUCUUUCUAGGUGGAAGGAAAUACACUACCCCGAACUACCGGGUAGGUGGAGUGACGGUACCGAUCAGAAGAAGACACCGGC